UACGAAGGGGGCUAGCGUUGUUCGGAAUUACUGGGCGUAAAGCGUGCGCAGGCGGCUGCUCAAGUCAGGGGUGAAAGCCCAGAGCUCAACUCUGGAACUGCCUUUGAGACUGAGUGGCUUGAGUACGGGAGAGGUGAGUGGAAUUCCCAGUGUAGAGGUGAAAUUCGUAGAUAUUGGGAAGAACACCGGUGGCGAAGGCGGCUCACUGGCCCGUAACUGACGCUCAUGCACGACAGCGUGGGGAGCAAACGGG
rnacentral:rRNA from 1 species